UGGUGAUCUUUAGCAGCCUUUCCUACCUUUGAGAUGCUAGGUCUGAAGCCUCCGUCUUUCUCUGUGCCCUGUGAGCUGGUUAGGCCCUACGAGGGGCAUGGAGAAAGUGAGAGAAAGAAAAUGAGGCACGGGCAGGUGCCUGGAGGCGGGGAGGACCUGCCAGUCACCGGAGAGUCGGGUGGAGAGGCAGUCACCUGCCAGGUACCACAGCUGACAUGCAGAAGCGUCCUCCAGCCCAGGAGAGAGACUUGGCCUGGCACCUCCCCAGCAUGACCCUGGGCCUGCCACCACCUGGUGUCGCUCCCUGAGGACUUGCCAGCCUGGAGCAGGUUGAGAUCAAAUGAACAGGGCAUCUAAGAGCCAAGGUGGCCAAGAAGUAAGAGGCAAGCUCAGGCCAUGGGGUCAUGUCAAACAGUCCUGAGCAGUGCUGAGCUGGGGCAUAGGCUGAGGUGGCCCAUUGCUGUGACCUCGGGUCUGGAGGGCCCUAGGGACCUAGGAGGUUAACGGGAGGAGACAGGGCUGGGGCUGGUGCAGAGACAGUGGGCCAGGCCUGGCAAGGAGAGCUAUUGACUUUGGUAGAACACUAGACAAAGCUUGACUGCGACUUGCAGGCUCUGGAGCCAGCAGCCCAAUGCCUGGGAUAGGGCUGGGCUUACUUCAUCUGGUUCCCCUCUGACAGUGGACAGUUGGGCCUCACUGCCUGAAUUCUCAACUAUCUCCUGCCACCUUGUACAGAGUCCCAUAAGUCUGCCCACCACACACCGUCCCCUCCUCCCUGCUCUACCGCCCAGGCCAGCUGGUCUUCUCUGGGCUGAGCCCGUGUCCCUUGGAAAAGGGUGGUGUGUCCCAAAGCUGAGCUUCAGUGGCUGCAGGGAAUGGAGAAAGAGAGCCCUACUAUGUCCCUUGUUGCUAUCCAUCUGCCCCUGCUUCCCCGAGAAUGGGUCAGUGUGGCCCUUGCAGAAUCCUCCCAGCCUUGUGCACUCAACUUACAUUCGUCAGAAGGAAAAUCUGGGGCUCACGGAGGCUUCUGCGUCAGCCCUAAGGUUGCACAACUUAGAACAGGAUCAAAGGAAGGGGCCUAGAAAGCUGCUUUCCCGAGCAGCCAGCACAGGGACAGACGGACAAACAGGAGCAGUCCUGAGCCUGUUCACCUGGCCCAGGUGAGUUUCGUCAUCCCAGCCUUCGACUCAAACUUCACUCUGGACCUGGAGCUAAACCAUCACCUCCUGUCCUCGCAGUAUGUGGAACGCCACUUCAGCCGUGAGGGGACAAGGCAACACAGUACUGUGAGUGUCUUACGAAGGGAUCAGGAGGGAUAGAGGUGCUGUCCAGCGGCCACAGGUGCAAGGGUGGGGCUUUGAUCCCCAGAACACUGACAGAUCGGAACACAGGACAGAGAGACGAUGGUGGAGGGGUCCGGAAGGCCCAGUCCCACCCCUCCCUGCUUCUGAGGUUCCGUGGCCCUGCGGUUAGGAAGGAUAGACUGGGUGGUGUGGGACCCUGAGCCCCACCCCCCCCAGCUUCAGA
rnacentral:sRNA from 1 species